UGCUUUCCUGGUAGAAAGAACAGAUGUCUCUCCUGCCUGCCUGUCUCAAAUGAGUACAUGAUGUGUAAUAUCUGGAGCAUUGGCAGCCACGUUGAGAUCAUAAUGCAACAUGUCCACAUGCUGAGGCUGGCAGAGCAUAAAGAUCAAAGGUGUCUGGAUCCUUCUUAACAUCAUGAAGCUUCUGCACCAUCCCUGCACUGCCUACUCCAGACUCCCUACCAUGGAGAAAAAUUAGCGCCUAUUUCUUCAAGGCAGAGGUCGCACUAUCUCUCUUGCAACUGCUCAAGCAAAAGCAACCAUAGGAAAUAUGUAGUCAAACAGCUGACUGUUCACCAGCAGGCUAGCAGCUGAGCCCGGGGCUUUGAGGGACAGAUGACAGCUGGAUGGCUGACCAGCUUGCAGAGAAAGCUUGAAAUCUUGGGCACACACGGAAUGGAGCAAGAAAUUUUCCCAUUUGGACAUACCAAAGAGUAAGUUCUCUUUGAGAAAUUGGCGAGGAGUGAGAUGGGGUUGAAUUCCAGGAAAAGGAGAUGAAAUUUGUUUCUCAGGCAAACAUGCCAUCAGCAAGGUACGAGCUUUAGGCUGAGCUGACAGCAGCAAAUAGGGCUUGAUGAGCAUGACUUCCAGCCUGCAGAGAGAGCUGCAUCCCAGCAAGAAGGGAGCAAAUGGCACCA